AUGAGUUCUGUAGACUCACUAUGGUUAGCUGGUGGGCUCCAUCAGAAUAACUGAAUCUCAGAACUACAGUU
rnacentral:pre_miRNA from 1 species